UGGGGAAUUUUGGGCAAUGGGCGCAAGCCUGACCCAGCAACGCCGCGUGCAGGAUGAAGGCUCUCGGGUCGUAAACUGCUGUCAGAAGGGAAGAAUGGCGCCGGGGGGAAUAUUCCCGGUGUUUGACGGUACCUUCAGAGGAAGCGCCGGCUAACUCCGUGCCAGCAGCCGCGGUAAUACGGAGGGCGCAAGCGUUGUUCGGAAUCACUGGGCGUAAAGCGCGUGUAGGCGGUUCGGUCAGUCGGAUGUGAAAUCCCCGGGCUCAACCCGGGAACUGCAUCCGAAACUGCCGGACUAGAGUCCCGGAGAGGAAGGCAGAAUUCCCAAUGUAGGGGUGAAAUCCGUAGAUAUUGGGAGGAAUACCAGAGGCGAAGGCGGCCUUCUGGACGGUGACUGACGCUGAGACGCGAAAGCGUGGGGAGCAAACAGGAUUAGAUACCCCCGUAGUCC
rnacentral:rRNA from 1 species